ACGGGUCCGGGAGAAGCUAGUAGCGGAAACACAGUCACAUUGCUACCCGCUUGAGAGCCGAGAAGCGCGGGGAGACUUCUGGAUAUCUGACAGUCGCUGCCGAUGGCGCUGCUACACAGGGUACUUGUUAGGAAGCAGCUGGAACACAGACCAGUGGUGGGUGCCCACCACUAAUGACAAUGAUAAUGAGGAAAUUUGCUGUACAGUAUAAUGGCACACAUGCAAGAGUAGUGAGAUAAGUAGGAGGCGACAUAUGAAUAUAUGCAGAUGGGAAUUAGCAGUCCCAGUAAACACCUGGAGCCAAGGGGGAAACGUUGCAGAACAGAAAGAGUAUAGGGGUGCUGGAGCCUAUCCCAACUGUCUCCGGGCGAGAGGCAGGGUUCACCCUGGACUGGUCGCCAGCCAAUCACAUUCAUACCUAUGGACAAUUUGGAGUCGCCAAUUAACCUAGCAUGUUUUUGGAAUGUGGGAGUACCCGGAGAAAACCCCCGGAGAGGGAGAACAUGCAAACUCCACACAGAGAUGGCCAAGGGUGGAAUUGAACCCUGGUCUCCUAGCAAGCAAAAACAUUUCCAUUAAACACUGGGGAGGGAUGCUGAAAGUAGAACUUCCAUAAAGGUGUCACUCCUGAAUUAAUUUACAUUUUUUGCUUAAAUUACAACAUUGAAAUAUUAGUUUAAUGUGUAUUAUGCAUGAAAAUAGCCAGUAAACAGAGAUGAAUCUAUACAUUUGGUACAAUUAGCAUUGGCGGAGGUCUGUGUCUCAACAUGCUGUACUAAAUAUUUUUUCAGAAAACCAAUGUAUUUUGGCAUUGCUACCUUAAAAAUACAAUGUCUGGGGUUGUUAGGUUGUUUUUCUAUAAAGGUGAGGAGAGCUCAGUUGUAUGUCAUGUAUGAGGAGCAUGCUUCAGUGCAUCAGUUCUGUAUUGGUUAACGUAUAAAGCGUUUUCACUUUUUGAACUGAACUACUGAAAUAACUACAUUUUUUAAAGAUAUUCUAAGUUAUUGAGAUGCACAGGUAGCCCUUGUUUUAUCAUGUUAUGAUGUUUCGUGGUUACAAACACAAAUAAAAAAAUAAUACAUAGGUGGAAUUGUACAUAAUACGUUACUACACCUUUUACUCCUUUUUGUUAACUUUGCACAUCCUGCAAGACAACCACAGGGAUAAAAGUAAGGAUUGUUAUUAUUUAUUACUGUAUUUCAUAUAUCCUUCACUUAAAUGUUAGGUACAAAUUCCGACUCAACACUAAAAUUUGACUUUCAUAGUCUUUGGAGUGGAAUUUGAGCAACACCUCAGGUCCGGAAUGCAGAAUUUUUGUGACCCAGCCUCUUUUUGUCUUUCUUUUGCUUACCAUCUUUGGAGUUUGUCCUUCUGUCUAUUUUAGUGCCGCACCACCCACCCACGACAGGAACCUGCAUGCUGCUUGCAUGAAUAAUAAUACUCCAUUUAGUACAAACCGAUGGUGGCGAAAGGAAGCUGUAAUUCUUUUGCCCUUUAAGGCUAUUUCCUUUCUCCAUUGUCAAUUUUAAUCAUUCAUUUUUUGUGUGUGUGUAGAACAUCCAUUAAUAGAUAAUCAGCAGUGCUACAAAAUGUCACAAAAAUGCCCAUUUUAAUUUCUAAGACCUUUACAAAUGCUAAAUGUAUGUUUUGUUCAACUGAAAUGAAUUAUGUUUCCUACUUUCAAAAAUACAUUUUUGUAUUGUUCCUCCCACUCCUGUGUAUAGUCCAAAUAGUUGAAGUGAAUCCAAGAAGAGCAGACAGCGGGAAAGCCCAUGCAUCUUCCCUUCUCAUUAUGUAUAAUGUGGACAUGCUUUACUGGGUCACACCCAUUCUGAUAGCCCGCUUGUUGGAGCGUGAUGUGGGAGGAUUCAAACAGGGGCAUGCCAUGUGCAUUUAUGUGUCACAGGAGGCGAUGCGCACUCUUGCAAAAUAACCAAGUUGCCUGACUCGAUUAGAGAGAAUCCAUGUAACUUUUGCAAUGUGGAGGAUCACGGAAUGCUGCAGCCAGUGGGCAUUA